UCUUGAUUGUACUUCUUCUCUGUGACUGUGGAUCUGAUGUCUCACUUUGGUAUACUUUUACCAACACAGGUGAGCCUCAAAACCUGCAGCUCUUGUUUUGCAGCCAUCACCCAAAAAAAAAAAGUAGCAGCCAAAAAAGUGACCCUGGACAGGAAGUGGGGGGAAAGGGUCCUAAAAAAUAGAAAUGCUGGAAGAGUGGUGGACUCUGCCCAUAUUGCAGUGAAAAAACUAAGUGCAUUGGGCUAUGUCCCAAUUAAAUUUUUCGCCAAGAAAGAUAAGGCCUCUGGAAAGUGGGUGGCCGAUGUGGUGACCCAUCUGCCACCCACUGAGGAUAACCUAAAAUUGUGGCCACCAUGAGAAAGGCCAGUUUGAUACACAAAGGAGUUUGUCCUCGCAUACAUACCCUUCAGUACUGAACACACACUCUAGGAGUAAAGCAAUGAGCAAUACACACUUGAGGAGAGAUGAAUACACACACAUACAUCAGUGGGCAGCCCAGGUAGCUUAUACCCCCCACCCCCCACUACCACUGUUCACAGGUCUGCUUCAAUAGCCUUUAGGCUAGGCAGUAGGAUAAUUAGGCUACAUUUCGGCUAUGAAAUCACUGAAUUUGAUGGCUAAAGGGCAGUUAAUUCCAGGAACGAUAACUAUAACUAUAACCGUAACAAUAAAAGCGUCCAGACUGACCAACGAUAAGCAAAGUCUCACCUUGUGUUAAUAAAUGUGAUGGGUUCUUAUUGGCUGUUAGCUUUUUAUUGUUCUCAAAAUCACUUUUAAAGCGAUCCCCAACGAUAUUGUUCUCCAUGUCAUUAUCGUUAUAGUUUAUCUUGAUGUGAAUGGCCCUAUAUAUAUAUAUAUAUAGUCUUUACUUAUUUAGCUGUAUUUUCUGACGUUUUCAAAGUUCAAGGACAAUGGUUAAUGUUGUUCCCCAGGUUUUAUGAAACUUAGUUAAGAAUUUGUUAAAGUUUCAUUUCAAGUUUUUGACAUUUAUGGUUGAUUAAUAUAUAUUUUUUUGUCAUUUAAGGUUGCCAGAAAUGUAGUAGGCAAAAAGUUUUCAACAGGAAGAAGGAUAAAUGAGGUAAGAAAUAUAUUUUUCAUUAGGCUGUCUAAUCAUCUCUCCAUUGUCUGUGGCUCAUCUGACAUUUCACAUAUCACAAAAUACUGACCAUUAAAGCAAGUGGUAAUUUGAGUCCAUUUAACUGAAGGCCAAGUGGCCUUGCCCCAAAAAUUAUGAAAUUCAAAACCUGAUUAUAUGUUUGUGUCUUUCUGUAGAGGCAAGAAUAAGGGUGAAAUGGUUACCUUGCUCUGCAUGGUAAGUACUGCUUUAUAUUGGUUUAUAUUCCCUUCAUACAUGUCCUUUCUGUUUCCACUUUUAACCAUCUCAUAGGUGGUGGAUAAAGGUUGGAACUUAAGGUUGGAAUGUAUAUUGCAGCACACACAACUUUAAAUGUACAGGUGGGUCUCAAAAUUUUGCAACCAACAAGCAGCGUUAACCAAACCAAACCCAACAUUACAGACAACCUCAAGGUCACUAUCAAAGCAACAUGGGCUUCCAUAACACCUCAGCAAUGCCAUACACUGAUGGCCUCCACACCACAUUGAUGCAGUAAUUUGUGCAAAAGCAGCCAGACCAAGUAUAGAGUGUAUGCAUUAACAAUUUUUGAUAAGUCAGAUUUGUUCAUUUAUUUUCAAAAGGUCAACAUUUCUGUAUUCCUCUUUAUUAUAAUAUAGUGAGUUGAUGAGUUUUGGUUUUCAUGAGCUGUAAGCUGUAAUCAUCAAGAUUAAAACAAGAAAAAUUGCUUGAAACGUUGCACAAUAUUGUAAUUUUGGAGAGCCACCUGUUGGUAUAGGAUGGAUUAAAUGCAGUGUCAAAUAUUGUCUACAGGAUUUAGCCACUUGCUCUUUUCAGUACCAUGCAUAAUUGCCCCUGUGUGAUUCUAUGUAGGAAGUAGACAUUCACCAAUAUAUUGGCAGAACAUCAGUAUCGGCCAAGAUCAUCCUUGUUGACUGAUAUCGGCUAUUGGCUAGUUAACUUUCUAUGACUUUAUCGAUGAGAGUGGCUGAUGUUUAUCUUUACAUUGCAUCAAGCACUAUAUAUGUAUAGGUUUGUAUAAAAACAAUGAAAUACAAGACUGUACAAUAUUUUUUGAAAAUAUUUAUGCUGUGAAACUAUUUUGUUAAAAUGGCUCAUCUGUUUUUCACUGUUCUAAUGUUAUUAUUAUAAUUUUUUUUAUUGAUAUUUACUGUGGAAAAAUCUGGGAGGAGACAUGGGAGCCGGCCUGCCAGUUAGGUGCCAAACAUGUGUGACGUCACCCAUUGGUCUGUAAUUCAAUAUGAGUUGAAUUCCUGCUAUGAGUUGUUGAGUUGGCCGUUACGGGCACAGCCAUCCUGGUUGCGGAUGUGACGAUUUUAGACGAGAAGGAGGAGCCACGUUACACACUUUUAAUGGUUUCCACCCUAACAUGUUGUCAUGCUGUUUUUUUCUUUAUUAUUAUUGAUUUUUGUUAAAAGCUGUGUUCAAAUAAAUCAAAGUAUACCUAUAUUUCUGUUUAUGUCUUUCCAUUCACCUUGUGGGUUAGCCAAUCAGCUGAAAUAUUCUACAACCCGUCAAAUGAUAUAUUGCAAUAUGAUGCACCAAAGUAUGUAGGAAGGUUGGACAUGUUUUCAUUCAUUUUAAUUUACUCCAUUAACAAACCAUACAUUUUCUGAAUAAAGGGUAGCUGAGGUAGGCAGGGGUGGAUAAAUGAACAGGCUUACCAGGACCAGAGGUUAAGAGGGUCCAGAAGCCUCUAAAAAUUUGAAAGCAUGGUUUCUAAUUCAGGAAGGUUUCUAAAGGCUUUUUUAAAAGGCUUCUAAAGGCAAGGCAUAUGAAACCCUGGCUGCUGCACUGUGGCCUUCCAUUGACUUUGACGCACUGAAUGUGUGUGUGCAAGUCUACCCCCGGAUGGGUAAAAAGCAGAAGACAAUAUAUAUAAUAUAUAUUUUUUUACUUUUAAUGUUAUUAUUUCCGUCUAUAUUGGCCAGGGAAGCUGGGUUUCUUUGUUGUUUAUUUAUAUUUUUAAAACUAUAACCCUACACCUAUCAAUAUUUAUUUAGAUGUUAUCAUGGUAUUCAUUUCUUUAUUUUAAUAUUAUUUCGGUCUUAUUACCGGUGAAAUAUUACAGUAUGCUGUAAUACAGAACAUUACGAUAUGAUCCGAGCUAGACACAUUCAAAGCCCAUAUUCCACAAUGCAAUGCGGGCAUUCAUUCACAGAAUCAGACAGCGAUCAGCUGGUCUUUAACGCCAGUAUCGCUUCAAUGUACAUACAGGUCCUUCUCAAAAAAUUAGCAUAUUGUGAUAAAAGUUCAUUAUUUUCCAUAAUGUAAUGAUAAAAAUUAAACUUUCAUAUAUUUUAGAUUCAUUGCACACCAACUGAAAUAUUUCAGGUCUUUUAUUGUUUUAAUACUGAUGAUUUUGGCAUACAGCUCAUGAAAACCCAAAAU
ensembl:lncRNA